UGUGCCUCUUUGGGAUGGCACAAUAAAGCAACGUUCAUUUGCAGAACACAAGCUUCUAGAGGGUACAUAAGUCUGAAAUAGGCAUGGGACGAUAACCGGUUUCAAGGUAUAUGGCGGUUUGGAAAAUUCACGAUUUCAAAACCACAAACAUUUCCCGUUAUACCGUUCCUGCGGUAUGCACAGUUUUUUUACGUGUCGUCAAAGAUGGAAAGUGCAGGACUCCCUCAGUUGUGAGCAGUGAAGAGUGUUAGGAGUCACAUGACCCCUCCCCCUCCGGAUAGCGGUCAGUGAGAGUAACCUGUGUGUAGGAUGAUGGCCGAAGGAGGUGAAUCCCUGGAACUUUUUCCCCCGUCGAAAAAGGCGAAGUCUGCCAUAUGGGAAUUUCUCGGACAGUACCGUUUCUAGGCAUAGGCGAGCUAGGAGGUCGCCUAGGGCGCUACCAGCUGGAGGGGGCGCCAAUGAGCGCAUGUACUGGUACUACAUUGUUGCAUGCCUGCUCAUCAACGCUAUUAGAUCAAUGGGCUCUGUCAGUGCUUUGGCAAGCUGUAUUGCUGUAUGGAGACAACAUGGCAAGUUUCAAGAAAAGCUGUUUGGGAAAGGAGGAACCUUGCACAUAUAUUCUUCCUGCUUUUGUGGUAUUUUAAAAGUAAGGCUCUCGAGACGUCUACUUCUGUUCCUUAUCCACAAAGCCUGUGACUGUUGCUUUUAGAGACAGAUUGCUCAAUCAGAACCUGAUAUUAAUAGAAUUCUCCAUAUUCUCCAAGUGCUGGUUUGCCUUUGCAAUCCGUCCAUACAAUGACUAAGUAUACUAUUUUGUUGAACAUUAUUGUAUUAUGUAGUCCUUCAUUUGUGAAAAUAAAUCUACAUGACCUCAUGAGUUCAAAGGUUUCUUGGUCACAGUUUAUAUAUUUCAUAAUGAAACUAAGUUCACUUCAAUUUUCCAUGUUAGAUUCUAGUAAAUGUGUCAGUGGACACAUGAGUCACGUAUGAUUCAGCUACAC